UUUGGCAUUGUUAGAAGAUUUGUCCGGCGGUAACCCUAGACAUCAAACAAGCAUUUUAUAUCGAAUCGUUUGAUAUUCCUCUUUUUUUUUUUUUUUUUCUCGGAAUACAGGUCUGUGGAUCCUCGUCGUGGUUUCCGCUCUGGGCGAUGGGAGGAGGGCAAUGGUUUUGGCAAGGCUACAGACUGCAGCAGUGCUCUCCGGAAGGGAAAGGCCGGAGAACUGAAACAUUGAUGACGUUCCAAUGGCUGCUGAUGAAGAUCGAGGAAUGGGCAUGACCUGGUGAUGCUGUUCUGGAUGGAUGCGCUUUCGUGCCUCCCUGCAUGCCAACAACAGCUCCAGAAAUGAUCCAGUUUGGAAGUAUGGGGGGUCUUCCUAUCGUCUCUGUGUAAAGCUCAAGGAGCUCAACAGGUUCAACUACCUCAAUCUGUAUCCUGUCAACCUUUGUGAGAUCAAAAACUGAGUAAUUGUACCCUUCAAGGUAAAGGGAUUUCAUUCUUGAGGUAAUGUAGAAAGGAGAAGGAGCAUAAGUUGUACUCCAGUCACCUCCUGAUCUGACGAUGUAAAAAGUAGAACUUAUAAUUCUGUGAUUCCAUUUCAUGACAAUACUGCAGCAAAUUAUGGCUGGUAGUAGUACCUGUAACUAACCAAAUUGGCAGCAAAGGUGAUAGGCUGAUCUCCUCGUCCUAUACCUUGUUCCUGCACCAGAAUUGGCACCCUCUUUCCUUUGAACUCGACAUGGGAAAACUGCUCACCGAAACCAUAAAACCUCUCAUCUUUAUCGCUUGCAUAUGUGAUGAAAACUUUGUUGAACUCGGUGAUAAUUCCCUUCUUUCCCUCUUGUUCAUCAUGCGAUGAAAGUGCAACAAAACCUUUAUUACUUGACAUACAGGACUGCAUUUCUGAUCGAAUUCGCCAAACUUGAGAUGAAACCCAAUUUGAUUCUUACUCUUUUGCUCAAGCAGAAACCAAUACCUUGCAACAAGUGAAGAUUUCCUGGAACAACCAAAUCUCAAUCUUUUCUUCCCCAAGUUCUUCUUAGCAGUUGAGUUAGUCUUUUGAUUGAAGACCCUUCCCGCGAUCAUCAGAAUAGGGAAUUUUGAUUCCUCUACCAACUCACGAAUGUCUUCAUUGCUUGAAUUUGGAAACCCAGAUAUGAAAUAAGCAUCACCGUCAUGGAUAACAAAGGAACCUCUGCUUUCCUCGGCAUGACUUUGAACUGCUGCCGCCGAAAUAAACGCCUCUCCAGGGAUUGUAGACCAUACGCUUCGGCUCGGCUGAGUUCGGUGUGAG